CCUACGGGAGGCAGCAGUGAGGAAUAUUGGUCAAUGGACGAGAGUCUGAACCAGCCAAGUAGCGUGAAGGAUGACUGCCCUAUGGGUUGUAAACUUCUUUUAUAUGGGAAUAAAACGUUCCACGUGUGGGAUUUUGUAUGUACCAUAUGAAUAAGGAUCGGCUAACUCCGUGCCAGCAGCCGCGGUAAUACGGAGGAUCCGAGCGUUAUCCGGAUUUAUUGGGUUUAAAGGGAGCGUAGGUGGAUUGUUAAGUCAGUUGUGAAAGUUUGCGGCUCAACCGUAAAAUUGCAGUUGAAACUGGCAGUCUUGAGUACAGAAGAGGUGGGCGGAAUUCGUGGUGUAGCGGUGAAAUGCUUAGAUAUCACGAAGAACUCCGAUUGCGAAGGCAGUUCACUGGACUGCAACUGACACUGAGGCUCGAAAGUGUGGGUAUCAAACAGGAUUAGAUACCCUUGUAGUC
rnacentral:rRNA from 1 species